rnacentral:lncRNA from 1 species
CCUCCUCAACAGAAUCCGCCAUACCAAGUUCAACUUCAGAACCAGUUUCCUCAGAAUCCAAUUCCCUCCCAUCCUCAGUCAGAAGCUUAUUAUCUCCCAGCUGGUCAAGCACCGGAAAACUUAAGUCAGCAGUACCAACUGCCUGCACCACAGCAGCAUCAGACUCCUCCACCACCUCCACAUCAACAAUAUCAGUCUGCCCCUCCGCCAAUAUACUCUCAGCCACCUCCACCUGCUCAACCACAACCCCCUCAUUCCUCUGUCAAUCCCUCGCAACCUCAACCUCUAGUAGGCCAUCAUCGUGAAGAGACACCUUUUGUACCAUCCCAGAAUUAUCCACCACCAAGCAUCCGCCAACCUCCUCAUCCAUCAAGU